rnacentral:rRNA from 1 species
AGGACAAACGCUGGCGGCGUACCUAAGACAUGCAAGUCGAACGGAUUGCAAAUCUUCGGAUGUGCAGUGAGUGGCGAACGGGUGAGUAACGCGUAGGAAUCCACCUCGAUGUGGGGGAUACCACUUGGAAACAGGUGCUAAUACCGCAUGUGGUCGCGAGAAGAAAGGCUGUAGCAAUACAGUCGCGUUGAGAGGAGCCUGCGUCCGAUUAGCUAGUUGGUGGGGUAAAGGCCUACCAAGGUGACGAUCGGUAGCUGGUCUGAGAGGAUGGUCAGCCACACUGGGACUGAGACACGGCCCAGACUCCUACGGGAGGCAGCAGUUAGGAAAUUUUGCCAAUGGGGGAAACCCUGAGCGAGUAACGCCGCGUGGAGGACGACGGCCUUCGGGUUGUAACUCUUUCUGUGGAGACACAAGACGGUACCACAGGAAGAAGCCCGGCUAACUACGUGCCAGCAGCCGC